UUCUUAUCAAGAGAAGUGGAGGGAAAAGGCCCAAUGAAACUUCGGCAACAGGUUAUUGAUGGCUAACACUGUGCUAAUUCCUACAGACAAUAUGCGUCUGAUAGAUAAGAA
rfam:Virgibacillus massiliensis genome assembly, contig: 000001